UAGUCGGGUCGUACGAAGAGCUUGAUGAGGACGGCAUGGGCGUGCUAGAAUCGUCCUAUGAUCUUCAACAGCGUGGUGUGAACGUGGCAUAGUCGUAGUGGAAGCGUAGUUGGGUCGCAGUGAGAACGUGAUGGUCGUAAUGAGGUCGUAUUAACAUCGCUGUGAAAUCGUAGCGCAGUCUCUCCGAAUCGAAUCACGCUUUCACUACGCUCUCGCUACGAUGGUACAGCGACCUUUGCGAUCUUAGCACGACCUUUUUACGCUCUCACUACGAAUCUACUACGACCUUAUUUUGCCACGACCGCACCACGAUUGUUUUGAACAUGUUCAGAGUUGGCCACGCUCAUCAUGCUCUUGAAGACCUCACCUCGACCGUGAUACAACCUUACUACGAUCUACAAGAUCGUCAAAAUUUGCAUUUUUUCACAGAUCGUAGUGCGAUCGUGGCCUGGUGGGACUGCGGUACAAAACUAAUUUUAGCCUUUUCACUGACGUAAAUAGUAAAAUAACAAAAAUACCGAACUCCGGAAAAAUUCAAAACGGAAAUGCCCUAGUCUUAAUAUGCAACGCCGUAUCUGAAACAUUAUCCUGUUGCCUUUAAUUUCAAAUUAUAAUUAUUGUUAGUGUAUACACAAAUCUCAGACUAAAAACAUCUAUAAACACUGCAUUCUCAUAUUUCCUCAUGAAAAGCUACUAGAUAAACCUCUAUGCAACCACAUGAAUGUAUCACUGUGGCUUUUAUCUCCUCUGCACCAUGAUUCGAUUUUUUUCCUAUGAAAAUCAUUGUAAUAACCCUUUACAUAUCAUUGCCUAACUGUUGUGUUCACUAAUUAUGAUGUCUGCGAAGUUCAUAAUUAUAUAGUGUAAGAUGUUUUGAUUAUAUAUUAAACGAUAACAAAAACUAUUUAGUACAUUUACCAAUCAAAUUCGUUUUUGAAUUUAUUAUACUUUUUGUAU
rnacentral:lncRNA from 1 species